GACGAACGCUGGCGGCGUGCUUAACACAUGCAAGUCGAACGGAAAGGCCCCUGUUUGCUGGGGUACUCGAGUGGCGAACGGGUGAGUAACACGUGGGUGACCUGCCCUGCACUUCGGGAUAAGUCGGGGAAACUGGGGCUAAUACCGGAUAGGACGACGGGUUGGAUGCUGUUGUGGAAAAGUUUUUCGGUGUUGGAUGAGCUCGCGGCGUUUCAGCUCGUUGGUGGGGUAGUGGCGUACCAAGGCGUCGACGGGUAGCCGGCCUGAGAGGGUGUACGGCCACAUUGGGACUGAGAUACGGCCCAGACUCCUACGGGAGGCAGCAGUGGGGAAUAUUGCACAAUGGGCGGAAGCCUGAUGCAGCGACGCCGCGUGGGGGAUGACGGCCUUCGGGUUGUAAACACCUUUCGCCUGGGACGAAGCGCAAGUGACGGUACUGGGAGAAGAAGCACCGGCUAACUACGUG
rnacentral:rRNA from 1 species